rnacentral:lncRNA from 1 species
UGAAAAAGGAAACCUACCCGGACAUUUAAUAAAAACAAAUUUUUUCAAGGUUUCCUUGGAAUAUGUUCAAAAGAAGAUAUGCAUAUCCCUCAUCUACCAACACCAAGUCCUGGCCAAUGGACAUCGCCCCAGUGUUUUAAAAUCUAAAGAACACCAAACUAAGGAAAUACCUUUUUUAAACCUAUUCUUUCCUGUCAUAUAUAUUUC